rnacentral:lncRNA from 1 species
CACAUGGUAGGUAGAAAUCAACCACUGAGUUACACCCAACCUUCUUUUAAAAAUUUUAUUGGGCUGUCUCUUACUAUACUAGCAUAAUAUUGUUUUAAUCAAUAAAGUUAUUUAGCAACAUUUUUUUGGAUAGUCUCUGAUUGAUAUCUAUAUCUUUCAGAAUUUUUUUGACUAGUCUUACAGCUUUAUGUUCUAUAUGGAUUUCAUAGUCAGUUUUUAAAAUUCCAUUGAAGUUUUUUAAAAUGUGUAGAUUAGGAGAAUUAUUAUAUUCACAGUAUUGAUUCUAUAAAAGGACAAGUUAUAUAUCUCUAUUUAACCGAGCCUUAUUUUGUGUUUCUUGAUAGUUUCCCACAUAUGGGUCUUACAUAUAACCCACUACAUUUAUCCCUAAAUGUAUUCUCAUGGUGCAAUUGUCAAAGUGAUAUCUUCUUGAACUAUGAUUUCUCAGUAAUCUGUUUAUAGGAAAGCCAUUGUUCUUAUUAACCUAAUAAUUGUAUAACUGGCCUUACACCUUACCUUUUACUGUUUCUUAUAGUUUUUUGCUUGUUGUUUUUUUCUGUGUAUAGAAUUUUUUAAUGUGUAAAUAAUCAUAACUCAUUCCCCUUUACCUGUAUUUAUUGCCACUGGAUUCACCCUGUCAUCUAACUUUACUAAUACAGUGUUACCCAGAGCUCAUACGAAUCAUUUUUUGAGUACAGUAUAGGCUACUAUGCCUGCUGAGGAACUGCCAACAGUGGUCCUCCGCCCCCUCCCCACUUGCUUUUAGAUAAAGGAACAUCCUCUGAAUGAAUGGACCAAUUAAUUAAAGACACCCAAAUUGUUCAGACCAGUUAGAUGAAUGUACUCUUCUGACCUUUCUGCCAACAGAUUUAGCUUUGUGCCAGACCUGAUCUCAUAUUCUCCAUCUCACUAUCUCAUCCCCUUGGCCCAGCAUGCUUGGGAAGGGAGAGCCCUUGAAAUUGGACUCCGUAGGGGCUGGGAUUGUGGUUCAGUGGUAGAGCGCUUACCUAGCAUGUGCGGGGGCCCUGGGUUCAAUCCUCAGCACCACAUAAAAAUAAAUGAAUGGAAUAAAGGUAUUGUGUCCAACUACAAUUAAAAAAAUAAAUAUUAAAAAAAAAGAAAUUGGACUCAGUGGCUCAGAACAGUCUUGGCCUUUCCAGAACAAUGUUAGAAAAUAAUGUUGGAGUUGGCAUUCUAGUCAUGGCUUCAUCUUAACUAUAAAUGUUUCUAGUUGUCAAAAAUCAAAAGCAAAGAUGCCAG